AGGAAACGGAGAUAACGGCAGGCCUGAGCAGGCAGGCCCUGGCCUAUACAGGCAAAGACGUCCGCAGAGAGACCUGUCGCCUUCAACCGGAAGAGAGAAGGGAUUAUUAUAAACAAUACAGUUCCCCUCUGCGGAAUGAAGCCUUGAUGAAGGGAGUCACUGUGCAUUGAAAAUAGAAGGAAUGGAGCAGAUCUGUCAUGCAAGACCACCAGCUCUAGAACUGGAGAUUUUUACUGAGGAAUCAAUUCUCAGCAGGACAGCGGUUACAAGCUCCUGGCAAUUUAAGGAAAAACAUGUCCAGAUGCUCAGAACAGGUUUGACACUUCAAGUGAAGAGACAGAUACAGUACCACCCAGUCCCAAGUGUGCCAAGCUCAUGGAUGAUUCUGAAAUUUUAAGUUCCAGA